rfam:Gossypium raimondii chromosome 11, whole genome shotgun sequence.
AAUCCAUGAUGUAGGCAUCUCUGUAUUAGAAUUUUAAAAUGCUCCCAAGCUUCGUGAAAGCUCUCUCCUAAUUGUUUGAAUGUUGCAAUCUCUCUCCUAAGUUG